CUUUCUUCAACUGCUGCUCCACUUCAGAGAGCUUCUCCUUUUGUUUUUUAGGUGGUGCAGGUGGAAGUCUAUGGGGAAACUCAACUGCACUGCAAGAAAUAUCUUUUCCAGAUUGAAGUGCCUGCUGGCGAGUAGUCACGGCCAUUUUUCUCCUUUCAACUACUGAGAUAUCAGCUAAUUCCUUUAGUUUUUUCUUCUUCUUCGGUACUAACUCAGUAUCAGAAACCACCACCUCUUCAUAGUCCGAACCCUGAG
rnacentral:misc_RNA from 1 species